GAUCAUGGCUCAGGAUGAACGCUAGCUACAGGCUUAACACAUGCAAGUCGAGGGGCAGCAUGGUCUUAGCUUGCUAAGACUGACGGCGACCGGCGCACGGGUGAGUAACACGUAUCCAACCUGCCGUCUACUCUUGGACAGCCUUCUGAAAAGGAAGAUUAAUACAAGAUGGCAUCAUGAGUCCGCAUGUUCACAUGAUUAAAGGUAUUCCGGUAGACGAUGGGGA
rnacentral:rRNA from 1 species